rnacentral:rRNA from 1 species
GAUGAACGCUAGCGGGAGGCUUAACACAUGCAAGUCGAGGGGCAGCACGAUGUAGCAAUACGUUGGUGGCGACCGGCGCACGGGUGAGUAACACGUAUGUAACCUACCCUGUACAGGGGGAUAACCCGGAGAAAUUCGGACUAAUACUCCAGUGGAGAUAUACUGGGGCAUCCGUGGUAUAUUUAAAGCUUCGGUGGUACGGGAUGGGCAUGCGGAACAUUAGCUAGUUGGCAGGGUAACGGCCUACCAAGGCUACGAUGUUUAGGGGACCUGAGAGGGUGAUCCCCCACACUGGUACUGAGACACGGACCAGACUCCUACGGGAGGCAGCAGUGAGGAAUAUUGGUCAAUGGGCGGAAGCCUGAACCAGCCAUCCCGCGUGCAGGAAGACGGCCCUAUGGGUUGUAAACUGCUUUUCCAGGGGGAGAAACUUUCCGAUGCAUCGGGAUUUGACGGUACCCUGGGAAUAAGCAUCGGCUAACUCCGUG